AUGGUGCACUUCCUGUUUGUUAGAAGCUGGGACUGAUUAGAUGCACACAGCACUCAUGGAGGCUUGUAUGAUGAGUACACACACAGACACACCGGCUGCUGUUGGACAGCGGGGCACAGGUCAACAUACCUGCUGACUCUUCUGUGUCUCCGCUGACGCUGGCGGCCUGUAGGGGACAUGCAGAGCUGGCUGCCCUGCUGAUGGAGAGGGGAUACGAUGAGGGAUGCACUCCACACAGAGAGGUUACACAAGAGGGCCAAGAGGAGAUGGUGGCACUGCUUUUGGAAAGAGUUAUUUUCAGAUCAGUGCAGAUGUGGAAAGGGGGUGAUACAUUGGCCGUGUUCAAGAGCAUCAAAACGACUGCAGGUGACUGCUAACUGACUGACCGUAGAUGAAAGUCGGAGAGUGAAGUUGGAGGCAUUGGACAAUGUCCCUCUGCUCCUCUCCAUCCUGGCAUGUAGAAGAAGAAGACACGGGCGCCUUGGUGCGGAUCACUUUUGUCAGGGUGGUGACCAACAAUGAUCACUGCCCUGACAAAAGUCAUCCGCUCCAGACACUGAUCUAA